GAGGGUACAGCUCAGUGGGAGCGCACAUGCUUAGCAUGCAUGAGGUCCUGGGUUCAAUCCCCGGUACCCACA
rnacentral:tRNA from 1 species